rnacentral:lncRNA from 1 species
UACGAGGUUCUUUUACCUCAGUAUGAGGUUGUUGUUCAGAAUCUCUCUUUGCCCUCAAUACAAUAUUUUUGUAUGUUGGUAGUGUUCUCUGACGUUUCAGGUAUACUACUACUCAGAAAGAUAGGAGAUGGAUUCAAAAAAGCCAACCUUGGCUCUUUACUUUCAGACUUGUUUGUCUGUCCGUGGUGGUUCUUGCAACUCCACACCCUUUUAUGGUUGAGGAUCUCCUCACAAUUCCAAGGCUCAUCAAAAAGGUGCAUGAUCACCUUUGUAGCCAAGCUUCUUGCUGCUUUCUAUGCAUUUGUUGCGGCAGCAUGUUCGGGUAGCAGCUCACCGAGUGUGGCUUCUGAUUUCCGUGGCGUCAUCUCACCGAUUAGCACUAGGGGUUCACUCUUAAGUUGCUUGUGUGUUAUGUUUGCUUAUAUCUAUGUUUAUGUUACCUGCUUUGCAUGUGAUGCAGCAGUUUCUUUAGCUAGUCUAGCUCUGUUAUAUUACUCCAUAUCCAAUAGUCGCAACAGAGAUUACAGAUAAGUAUACUGAAUCCACUAAAUCCAACUUCUCGCAGUAGUAAAGAAACAGUGUCACCAAUAUGACGCAAAAGACUACAGCGAGAAUCGCAAAACACAGCUUCCACUUUGUUUUUUAUCCUACCCUCCCCUAAUUUCAAAGGCGUUUUACGUCGAGAAGGAGAGAUGGUUUGAGAGAGCGGUCGUGGUGGUGACUUUUGGUCUAAUAUGGUGGUGGAAGCUAAGAGAAAAGUUAGAAAAUUUGGUGGUGGUUGGAGAGUUUAAACGUAACCUUCUUCUUCGUUUGGAGGUUCUGAUUUUGUGAACUGGUGGAUGUAUUACAUCUGUGUCGUGAUUGGUAUGGCGAAGAUAAGGCUGGGGAAAAUAUGCGGGUCCGAAAAAUCGAACCGAACCGGAUUCUAAAAGGUGAUAUCAACCAUGAACUGAAACUUGUCAAAUAUCCGAAUGUAUCCAAAAUUUUUAUACCUAAAGAACCAGAACCGAACCCGAUCCAAACCAAAUAUUUCAGGUAUCCAAAAGUAUUUGAAUUAUAAUUAUAUAACUUAAUAUAUUAGUUAUAUUUAGAUUUAACAUAAAAAAAUAUCUAAAAACAUUCAAACUAAUCGAGUGUAAAUAUUUGAAAAUAGCAAAAAAAAAAAUGUAUCCUUUGUCGGUUCUCUCUCCAUGAGACUCCAAGGCGAUUAGGGUUUUGAACAUUCAUUUGCCGCCGCCGGUCUGGCCUCUCGCCUUCCGGUGAGAAACUCUUCUUUCUCCCUCCUCUUUCUUUCUUCCAUGGGGUUAACGGUGACUUCUCCAGUCUCAGAGUCAUUGUUGCUCCUUCCUCCACCUCCUGAACCGCCGCCGUCUGCUCUUCCUCUAGACCUGCUUGGUGGGAUCCCUGCCCCGACCCUCCUGAUCCUCCUGACCCUCCCGACAUGUUCGGUGAAUCAGAUCUGUCGUCUCUCCCUUGUCUCUGUUUCACACUAACAGCUGCAAGGUCUCAUCUGUUUAAUUGUACGAUAACAGCUUGCUCAGUCUGUUUGUUGCUCGUACCUCUUAGAGUGAAGCUUGUUAGGCAUCUGCUUCUCCCUACUGCCGGUUGCAGAUCUUGGAUCUAUGAUUUUGUCUGGGGAGACGAUUUCUCCAUGUUCUUGAGCUUAUUUUUGAAAGGUAUGAUUUUUGCGAUCCGUUUAAAUGAUUCUAAUUGGGAUGGAACCUACCUUAGAUUCGGAUUGCUUGCCCUCAGUUUAAAGAACCAGUCACAACAAUUACCUCAGUAUGAGGAUUUUAAGCUUCCUGUUAGUCAUUGUUUAACUCAGUAUGAAGAGUUUAGGCACUUGGUUUGCCUUACCUUACCUCAGUACGAGGUUCUUUUACCUCAGUAUGAGGUUGUUGUUCAGAAUCUCUCUUUGCCCUCAAUACAAUAUUUUUGUAUGUUGGUAGUGUUCUCUGACGUUUCAGGUAUACUACUACUCAGAAAGAUAGGAGAUGGAUUCAAAAAAGCCAACCUUGGCUCUUUACUUUCAGACUUGUUUGUCUGUCCGUGGUGGUUCUUGCAACUCCACACCCUUUUAUGGUUGAGGAUCUCCUCACAAUUCCAAGGCUCAUCAAAAAGGUGCAUGAUCACCUUUGUAGCCAAGCUUCUUGCUGCUUUCUAUGCAUUUGUUGCGGCAGCAUGUUCGGGUAGCAGCUCACCGAGUGUGGCUUCUGAUUCCCGUGGCGUCAUCUCACCGAUUAGCACUAGGGGUUCACUCUUAAGUUGCUUG